rnacentral:rRNA from 1 species
UACGGAGGGUGCAAGCGUUGUUCGGAUUUACUGGGCGUAAAGGGCGUGUAGGCGGAGGCGCAAGCCGGAGGUGAAAUCCCUGGGCUCAACCCGGGACGUGCUUUCGGAACUACGUUUCUUGAGACAGGCAGAGGCAGGUGGAAUUCCAGGUGUAGAGGUGAAAUUCGUAGAGAUCUGGAGGAACACCGGCGGCGAAGGCGGCCUGCUGGGCCUAGUCUGACGCUGAGGCGCGAAAGCGUGGGUAGCAAACAGG